rnacentral:rRNA from 1 species
UACGUAGGGGGGCAAGCGUUGUCCGGAUUUAUUGGGCGUAAAGAGCGUGUAGGCGGCUAGGUAGGUGGGUUGUGAAAACUGGAGGCUCAACCUUCAGACGUCGACCCAAACCCCCUGGCUAGAGUCCGGAAGAGGAGAGUGGAAUUCCUGGUGUAGCGGUGAAAUGCGCAGAUAUCAGGAAGAACACCCGUGGCGAAGGCGGCUCACUGGACCGGUACUGACGCUGAUGCGCGAAAGCGUGGGGAGCAAACGGG